AGGGCCGAGAAUUAAUUCCCACAUUAUUUAAUCAAGCUAAUUUAUAUUAACUGAACAAUAGAUGAGAUGAUGAUGAUAAUGAUGAUGAUAACUGACUGGCACACGACAUUGUCCCGCGACGAGAGAUUCGAAUGGGAGAGCACUCGUAUUUUAUAUCACUUAUUUCCCUUUACACAAAUUCAGGAGGUCGCGGGCUGAUGGCUGUCAAAUUCCUUUGCGCGUCAUGACGUGAUGCAGUUCAUAAGAGGCGUCACAUGGUCACAUGACUUCCAUAGAUCUAAAACCACAUAAUUCGAACUGGAAAACUGCAGUCAAAUCAAUAUCAAAACACAAUUUAUUGAUUCCUGGAUAUCUUCUCAAGUAGUUGGAAAUGAGCAAAAGAUUCGAAGCUAAGGCAAAUGCAGCAAGACGGCCAACGGUCCGUCAAGAUGCGGGUCGCCACACUGGAAAUCCGGCCGCGAUUCGAGGUCGAGGACGCCAAGCAGCAAGGAGAACGCAAGGACGACCGUUAGCAGCUGCAGGGCGCGGACGUCCUGCGCAAGUGCGCCAACGAGGGCGGCCGAGAGCAGCUGCAGGGCGCGGACGUCCUGCGCAAGUGCGCCAACGAGGGCGGCCGACAGCAGCUGCAGGGCGCGGACGUCCUGCGCAAGUGCGCCAACGAGGGCGGCCGACAGCAGCUGCAGGGCGCGGACGUCCUGCGCAAGUGCGCCAACGAGGGCGGCCGACAGCAGCUCGCCACAAGGGCGUCCAAGAGUCCACCAUUUCCGAUUAAGGAAUAGAUUGUAGCACCCGGGGUAUUUGUGGUGUCAACAAUAGUGUGAUUAGCUACCCAUGGCUGCCACGUGGGGGAGUAGGUCUAGCCUGGUCAGCACUGUGUUGUCUGCAGUAGUUUAUUCACACUUUGCCCGGUACAAAGUAUUUACAAUGUACAAACAAUAUAAACAAUAUUCUUGUGUAUAUUCUGUUGAUACAGUAAAUAUUACGUGUAAUGUUCUGCAAUAAAUUGGGAAGUUAUUUCCUUUACAAUUAUAUAGUGGUGUGGUGUGUGUGUGUGCAUGCGUGUGUGUGCGUGUGUGUGUGUGUGUGUAGACAGUAUGCAUUGUCGCAAACCUGGGGCGAGGUCCGUAGAUUUGGUAGGGGGUACGAUUUCUAUUACCGGUCCAACACACCGUCUAUACCCCCACCAAAUCCCAUCGACACUUACCGCGUGCUACCACACUAAAUUGCUUAUUAAAUAUCAACUUU